rnacentral:tRNA from 1 species
GCGGGUGUAGCUCAGUUGGCUAGAGCGUCUGCUUGCCAUGCAGAAGGUCGACGGUUCGAGUCCGUUCACCCGCU